CGAGUUUAUACACCCUUUCUGUGUUUCCUGUCUAUAGAAGAUCCUUUUGCAUUUGUUUAAGAGCUGGUUUGGUGGUGCUGAAUUCUCUCAGCUUUGCUUGUCUGUAAAACUUUUGAUUUCUCCUUCAUAUUUGAAUGAGACCCUUGCUGGUUACAGUAAUCUGGGUUUUAAGUUUCUCGCUUUCAUCACUUUAAGUAUGUCUUGGCAUUCCCUUCUGGCCUGGAAGU